UACGUAGGGUGCAAGCGUUGUCCGGAAUUAUUGGGCGUAAAGAGCUCGUAGGCGGUCUGUCGCGUCGGCUGUGAAAUCUCGGGGCUCAACCCCGAGCCUGCAGUCGAUACGGGCAGACUAGAGUGCUGUAGGGGAGACUGGAAUUCCUGGUGUAGCGGUGAAAUGCGCAGAUAUCAGGAGGAACACCAAUGGCGAAGGCAGCUCGCUGGGACGGUACUGACGCUGAGACGCGAAAGCGUGGGGAGCAAACAGG
rnacentral:rRNA from 1 species